GUUGCUUUUGAAAAGUUUAUUAAUUUUUUUUUUCAAAACCUGUAGUACAUAUAUAACUUGCCAAGCAAAAUUUGACAAUUUCUUCAUGCUAUCUUUGUAUUUCCAUAAAUAUUUACAACUUUUUUGUAAUUUUAUUUAUGCCUUUAAAUUUCUGAAAGUAAUUUUACAGCAAAUUUUUCAUUUUAUUGGUGCAUUUUUCAAGCGUUGUCAAAAAGAAAAGACAUUUGGGGAUUUUGUUUUCUUUCUUUUAAUGCAUGCUCAACAUAUACGGUGCUUCCCAUGUUUCCCAUGAUUUUUCCCACUGAGACGGGCAAAAAUGUAGAAUUUGGUGGGUUAAACUCGGCGUAAAAGCAAAAACAUUCUGCUACGCUUGCCCCUUAACACCUCCUGUUGCGUUAUCUUCAGAGCUUCAAUGGAUUAUUCUGUUCUCAGUCUAAUAGACUUACAUCUUUUCCUAAUUGCAUUUCACUUUAAGUCCUUGUGAACAGUAACAGCUACAAUUACUGUUUCAAAGGUGAGUGCUUCCACAGAUCAUCUCGGCUGUUUUUCUCUUUCAAUUUAUUAAUAUCAAGUUAAAAUCAAGUUGUUGUUUUUUUUUUUUAUUUUUAUUUUUUUUUAGUGUCAGUUGUUUUCUGUUGAUGACCCUUCCCCAUUGGUUUUUUUGGGGUCACCACAGUGAAGUUUUUCACGUUUGGUGCCGAAUGUCUUACCUGAUGAUUACAACGUUUGAACCUGCGACCAGAAGAGUCAAGAAAAAAGGUAGAAUUUCCAAACUUAUUAAAAAAAUAAUUAGAUUCGGCUUUAAUUGUGUUCCUCUUGCGUUUGUGCAAUAAAUGACACCAUUAGUUUAUAACCUCAGUCUGUAAAUUGCAUUAGUUUGCUCGCUAACCACUUUGCCGUAAGCUCGCGGUUCCCUCGCUAACCUGGUUAGUUGGAUAAAUUUUUAGCCAUUAGGUUUCUCUCGUGUUGACUCAACUCUGAGCUUGUGUUUUGAUGACCUUCUAACCCUUCGAUCUUGAUUGGGUUUACAAUAGUUUGCUGUCCUUGUUUUCCAAAGCAGAUACCCUGGAUGACGGGUUUACCAAAACCCAUUUUGCUGUGCUUCUCCUAACCAUUUGGAGUCAAAAACAGUCCUCAAAACCUUUCAUUAAAGCACGUUGCUGUGCAAUUUUGUGAUAAGGUAUAUCACUUUUGCUCCCUGCCAGACGUCUACAACUAAUUGAUCUUCUUUUAAUUGUUUUUUAUGACUGUUAUUAUUAAUUGGGACCACAAAAAUAAAGCAGAAUUCAACCUAAAGCUUUUUUUUAGUUAGUUUAAAACAGCAAAAAAUACUCUUGUCUAAUUAAUGUGUCUUUUGAUUAAAUUUAUAUUAUAUUUCUCCGUCAGGUUUAGAAUAAUUUAAAUCUCAGUUUGGUGGCGUAUUCCUAAAAUUCCCAAUUUACACAUGAAAACUCGCCGAAUUCCACAAUAAAAGCCGACCUGCUGGCAAGCUGAACAUCUUUAUCCUAUAAAUCUUGAGUUUGAAGGUCAUAUCUGGAGAAAAUGUUGACUCUUUUAUGGUCUUUUUUUGUUUGUUUCUUUUGUUUUUCUUACCUAGAAGUUGGACUUCAGCGCGACGAGCUUUUAUACAAGCAGCCGAAGAAGAAGCUACAGGUUAAAAGUCCUACUGAAAUGUCUGAGCGGGAGACACACGUGGUCACAGAGCUGAUGUGGUGAAACACAGACACAGUGCCGAGGAUGACGUCAUGAAAUGGGCGCCACCCACAAGGAGCGAAAGGCGGAGCCUCAGAUCAACUUGUCUUUCUUUGGGCCGACGUGCUCAGAUUACACUUCAUAAUGAAUAAUCUUAACUCUGACGGAGGAGAUGCAGAUUAAGGUCCAAAACUGAUAAGCUACGUGUGAGUCCAACCUGUGACAGUAAGCUUUAGCGACGACACGUCAGGCUACUGCAGGACAAGAGGAUAUUGAGGUUAAUCUCAUCAGGAUACGGCCGAUUACAGCUCCUCUAAAUGAAGAUGGACACUGAAGGUGCAAAUGCUUGAUCAUUAAAUCCCAGACCAAAAAAAAUAAAAAUCCUCGCCGUCAUCUGGACGGCAAAUAUGAUGAAUCGUUGACAUCACAGGUUCAGAAACAACAAAUGAUGAUCAAAAGAUGCUUUUACAUCGAGUAACUUCUAUAAAAUAUAAUAAAUAGAGCAAAUAAACAAGUAAACUAAAGAUAACACAAUUUUAAUCACUUAAAAUAAAUGAGAUGUUACUACUUU